rnacentral:rRNA from 1 species
CCUACGGGAGGCAGCAGUGAGGAAUAUUGGUCAAUGGGCGUAAGCCUGAACCAGCCAAGUCGCGUGAGGGAUGAAGGUUCUAUGGAUCGUAAACCUCUUUUAUAAGGGAAUAAAGUGUGGGACGUGUCCUAUUUUGUAUGUACCUUAUGAAUAAGGAUCGGCUAACUCCGUGCCAGCAGCCGCGGUAAUACGGAGGAUCCGAGCGUUAUCCGGAUUUAUGGGGUUUAAAGGGUGCGUAGGCGGCCUUUUAAGUCAGCGUUGAAAGUCUGUGGCUCAACCAUAGAAUUGCCGUUGAAACUGGGGGGCUUGAGUAUGUUUGAGGCAGGCGGAAUUCGGGGUGUAGCGGUGAAAUGCUUAGAUAUCACGCAGAACCCCGAUUGCGAAGGCAGCCUGCCAAGCCAUGACUGACGCUGAUGCACGAAAGCGUGGGGAUCAAACAGGAUUAGAUACCCGGGUAGUA